rnacentral:rRNA from 1 species
GUCCACACGGUAAACGAUGAAUACUCGCUGUUGGCGAUAUACGGUCAGCGGCCAAGCGAAAGCAUUAAGUAUUCCACCUGGGGAGUACGCCGGCAACGGUGAAACUCAAAGGAAUUGACGGGGGCCCGCACAAGCGGAGGAACAUGUGGUUUAAUUCGAUGAUACGCGAGGAACCUUACCCGGGCUUAAAUUGCACUGGACAGGCGCAGAGAUGUGCUCUUCUUCGGACCAGUGUGAAGGUGCUGCAUGGUUGUCGU